rnacentral:lncRNA from 1 species
GUAUCAUGCCUCUAUGCAUCUCGGAAGCAGAUUAGGUGUCGAAAGCAUCCCAACCAAUGCCUUCCCCUCAAUUUCUUAAUUACCCGUUGGCAUGUCAGACACAAAUGGCGGAUCCAAACACCCAGAUCAGCCCGCCCCUCUCUGCUCUCUUGUUGUUGGGUGCCCACUCCCUCAGACAGAACUGCGAUCAAGCCAUCUCUCACGAACAAGCAAAUGAUAUCCAAUCAAUUAAAGGUGAAAAAAAUGGUUUCCACCAUACCUGACAAGUGGCCUCGCUUCUGCGCGCAAAAUUAUAUCAUCCCA